rnacentral:rRNA from 1 species
UACGUAGGGUCCGAGCGUAUUCGGAAUUAUUGGGCGUAAAGGGCGCGUAGGCGGCCUUGUAAGUCAAAGGUGAAAUCCCUCGGCUCAACUGAGGAACUGCCUUUGAAACUGCAAGCUUGAGGCCGGGAGGGGGUAGCGGAAUUCCCAAUGUAGCGGGUGAAAUGCGUAGAUAUUGGGAGGAACACCAGUGGGCGAAGGCGGCUACCCUGGACC